UACAGAGGGGGCAAGCGUUUAUUCGGAAUUAUUGGGCGUAAAGGGCGCGUAGGCGGCUUUUCAAGUGACGGGUGAAAUCCCUCGGCUUAACCGAGGAACUGCCUGUCAGACUGGAAGGCUUGAGACCGGGAGAGGUGAGUGGAAUUCCCAGUGUAGCGGUGAAAUGCGUAGAUAUUGGGAGGAACACCAGUGGCGAAGGCGGCUCACUGGACCGGUACUGACGCUGAGACGCGAAAAGCGUGGGGAGCGAACAGG
rnacentral:rRNA from 1 species